GACGAACGCUGGCGGCGUGCUUAACACAUGCAAGUCGAACGGUGAAGCUCCAGCUUGCUGGAGUGGAUCAGUGGCGAACGGGUGAGUAACACGUGAGCAACCUGCCCCUGACUCUGGAAUAAGCGCUGGAAACGGCGUCUAAUACUGGAUACGAGAAGGGCCCGCAUGGGCACUUUCUGGAAAGUUUUUCGGUUGGGGAUGGGCUCGCGGCCUAUCAGCUUGUUGGUGAGGUAAUGGCUCACCAAGGCGACGACGGGUAGCCGGCCUGAGAGGGCGACCGGCCAUACUGGGACUGAGACACGGCCCAGACUCCUACGGGAGGCAGCAGUGGGGAAUAUUGCACAAUGGGCGAAAGCCUGAUGCAGCGACGCCGCGUGAGGGAUGACGGCCUUCGGGUUGUAAACCUCUUUCAGCAGGGAAGAAGCGAAAGUGACGGUACCUGCAGAAGAAGCACCGGCUAACUACGUG
rnacentral:rRNA from 1 species